rnacentral:rRNA from 1 species
UACGUAGGUGGCAAGCGUUGUCCGGAAUUAUUGGGCGUAAAGCGCGCGCAGGCGGCUUCUUAAGUCUGAUGUGAAAUCUCGGGGCUCAACCCCGAGCGGCCAUUGGAAACUGGGAAGCUUGAGUACAGAAGAGGAGAGUGGAAUUCCACGUGUAGCGGUGAAAUGCGUAGAUAUGUGGAGGAACACCAGUGGCGAAGGCGACUCUCUGGUCUGUAACUGACGCUGAGGCGCGAAAGCGUGGGGAGCGAACGG